AUGCGGCAAUUGGUCCAGGGUGGCCAGACGGCGGUAAAUAUUUAUGGGGAGAUUGGACCAUAUUUUAGGAAUAAACGAAGGGUUAGGCAGGGAGAUCCGAUUUCCCCUCUAUUGUUUAAUAUUCUUGCGGACGCCCUGGCUUCCAUUCUCGACCAUGCCAAUGCGGUAGGUCACAUAUCUUGGGUGGCGUCUCGUAUUAUACCCGGGGGGUUAUCCCACAUCCAAUAUGCCGACGACAUGCUCAUUAUCAUCAAGAACUCCGAGCAAGAGAUAGUAAAUUUCAAAUUUCUUUUGGUGUGCUUUGAAGAGAUGUCGGGGUUAAAAACAAACUUUGAGAAGAGUGAGGCCAUGGUCAUGGGUGGUGACCUGAAUCCCAGUUGUGGGCUGUGCAUAUGA
rnacentral:rRNA from 1 species